rnacentral:lncRNA from 1 species
GUGUUGGAGGUGGGGUGAGGGGAGUCCAGGGGAGGGGUGAAGCCUCCUCAGAUGUUUAGCCAAGUUCCAUGUGAGAAACAGGGGUAGUAGGCCCUGCUUUACUGUCUAUCCAGACCAGAGCCCCAACCCUCCUGUAAUGGGCUGGUGGCCAGAGAGUGUCACCCACCUUUGCUGACAGUGUCACUUGCUUCCUGUUUGCCUUAGGGAAGGCGAUCUUCAGCCUGAGGUCAGAUUUGGGCUCACCCUGAGGCCAAGAACCUCAGCAUGUGAUCCCCAGCAGAUGCAGUAGGAUGCAGACUGGCAGGGGGCCCCUCCCUAGACCUAUGGAAUCAGAGCCUUCAGGAUGGGGCCUGGGCACCUGCAUUUCUGACAAGCUCCCUGGGGAUGUGCAGGUGCAGUGAAGCCGAGAAUCUCAGCCCCAGGGCCAGGCAAGUGGAGCUGCCUCCUAAACGUUAAAGAUCUAGUUGUGGGGAGAUGGCGAGGUGCCGGCCGCCCCUGGCCUCCAUCAGCUCUCGGCCUUCACGGCUGCUCACAGAUGGGCCAUCCCAACAGCAGCCGGGCCCUGUGUCCAGACAGACAGCCCAGGGGUGCUGAAGGCCCAUCUUCUCCUGCCCUGCCUUCUAAGGCUGGCCGGCCUCUGCAAACCCCCAUUCCUAGAGCCUCCACGUACCCACCUGCCAUUCAUUCAGCAGCAUACAUCACGGAGGGCUUGGUGCCUGCUGGGCACAGGGGCUGCCGCGUGGGGACAAUCUCUGUCCUCGGGGCCUCACCAUCCCGCGGCGGAGAUAGAUUGAAAACGUAGGGAAGGUAAUCACACGCUGCAAGGAAAGCUGCAGAGGACACACCGCAGGUUCAAACGAGAGCAUUUAUAAGUGAAACGCUCACUUAGAUGGGCUAAAAUACCACUGCCACCAGCCCCUCAGAGUGCCUUCGCUGGGCCAUGGUGUCUGGUUCACACCCAGAGGACACUUCCCUGGAGGGUCUGGGGGUCCCGAUGGCAAACGAAGCCGUGAGAAGCUUCCAGAUUGCCGUGACUCUCAAGCUGCAGCGUGGACCGUGCCACUUGGGAACGUGCUUUGCCAGGGUCUGGGUGAAGAGCGCUCCAGGUGAUUCUGAGACUGUCCUGCGGAACGCAGCCGUGGGGAGUUUGUCCUUAGGCGUGAAAGCACCUGUGAAUGUGUGGCAAGGCAGGUGGCCCCGGAGUACCUGUGGAAGAAGCUCUUUGCACCUCGCUGCCUAUUAGCCUCUUGGGUUUUGAGCGUGCUGCUGGGGACAUGUGGCUGGGGCCGCGGGUGGACCUGAUGGCCACGCCUCUGCGCUGACGCUAUGUGAGUGCUUCUGCUGAGUGCACCUGACCUUUUGCUAAGUGCAGUGAUGCUCUGUCAUCAGCCCGGUUCCCGUGGAGCUGGGAGGCUGUCUGGUUUGAGUGGUUUCAGGGCCGCCGUGGACACCAGGACAAGAUCAGGUUUUCUCUCCAUCCACCCAUCCAUUCACUCAUUCGUGCAUGCAUUUUCAACAGAGUAUUAAAUGCUUGUUAUGUGCCAGGCACUGUGUGAAGCUCUCAACACACGGGGCAGGCAAAUUCAGACAUGCUCUCUGAGACAGGGCCCCCUCCUCAUGGAGAGGUCACCAGCCCGGUGGAAGGUGACACAGGGACAGGGACGGGACACAUUGUCACCUCCUGUCUCCAUGGAAAACUCUUUUAAGUCCUGUUGUGGGUAGGAGUGUGGAUCACACCCCUGGGGUUUGCAAGAUGCUAUCUGAGCCUCAAGGAGGAAGGUGGGCCUGAGUCCCCCAGGGCUUUCCACCCAGGUGGCUAUUCCAGAUUUUUCCUGUAGCCACACUGGAAACAAAAACGCUCAGAGCCAGAAAUCUGGAAAGCCUACUCUCCAGGUAGUGUGUGAACAUCCUUCCCCAAAAUUUGAGGGGUCCGUGAGCAUCCAAAAUGACCCCAUGGGUUUUCCUGGCUGGUCACCACUACCAUGUAGCAUUCAAUGGCCACACCCAUCUGUGACACCAAGGUUUUGUGAAACGUGAGAGCAACUUUCCAUCCCCCACGGGUGUGACAUGCCUUCGGGGAAGCAAGGAAGAGGUGAUGGUGGGAGGAGGGAAACUGUACAAUCAAAUUAUUACCUGUAGCCAGAAACCAGCCCUCACCGCAGUGCUUUAGUUCAGUGAGAAUCAAGAAACAACCCCAGAGGAAGCAAAUUAGCUGAGACAUCCAGGAAGCAAAUAUUAGGACCAAAUGUGUUACGACCGUUUGCUGAUACCUUUAGGGGAAGGCAACUGUAGGUUUGCGCCAGAUUAGCUAGCACUUUUUCCUCAUAAGUACUGUACUUCUUUUGUGGAGAGGCUAU